UCUCUUGUACCUCAGUUGGUUAGAGCACUCGCUUAGUAAGCAGAAGUCUUGAGUUUGACUCCCAACAAGAGCA
rnacentral:tRNA from 1 species